GCUGGGGGUGGUGGCACAUGCCUUUAGUCCUAGCUACUUGGGAGGCUGAGGCAAGGGGAUUGCUUGAACCCAGGAGUUUGAGGCUGCAGUGAGUGAUGAUGGCACCACUGUACUCCUGCCUGGGUGACAGAGCAAUACCCUGUCUCUA
rnacentral:SRP_RNA from 1 species